rnacentral:rRNA from 1 species
GACGAACGCUGGCGGCGUGCCUAAUACAUGCAAGUCGAGCGGACGGAUGGGAGCUUGCUCCCAGACCGUCAGCGGCGGCCGGGUGAGUAACACGUGGGCAACCUGCCUGUAAGACUGGGAUAACUCCGGGAAACCGGGGCUAAUACCGGAUAACUCUUUCCCUCACUUGAGGGAAAGCUGAAAGAUGGCAUCUCGCUAUCACUUACAGAUGGGCCCGCGGCGCAUUAGCUAGUUGGUGAGGUAACGGCUCACCAAGGCGACGAUGCGUAGCCGACCUGAGAGGGUGAUCGGCCACACUGGGACUGAGACACGGCCCAGACUCCUGCGAGAGGCAGCAGUAGGGAAUCUUCCGCAAUGGACGAAAGUCUGACGGAGCAACGCCGCGUGAGUGAUGAAGGUUUUCGGAUCGUAAUACUCUGUUGUCAGGGAAGAACAAGUACCGGAGUAACUGCCGGUACCUUGACGGUAACUGGCCAGAAAGCCACGGCUAACUACGUG